GGAGAGGUGUCCGAGUUGGCUUAAGGAGCACGAUUGGAAAUCGUGUAAGUUGUGAAAGCAGCUUCGGGGGUUCGAAUCCCCCUCUCUCCGCCA
rnacentral:tRNA from 1 species